AUUCAAACAUUUCCAAUGAUCCUGGUGCUCUAGCCCUAUCUCAAACCAACUACACCAGAAUCUCUGGGGGUGCAGUCCAGGCCUCAGUGUGUUGCGAAGCCCCCAGGUGGUCCCCACAUGCAAGCAGUCCUUUGUGCUGACAGUUGCCGGGGUGUCCUCUCUGACUGUCAGAGUCAAGGGUCUAAUGCUGACUGGUUGCUACGGGUACAGCCCAGGCCAUGGGAUUCUGCCCAAGCAGGGCUAACUUCCGCCAGGCCUCACCACAUGCUCCAUGACCCCAGAAUUAGGCUCAAUGGAGGCUGUUUUAGCUGAAGGAGAGUUUGCCUCCCUGUCCUGAAUUUGGUAACUUCUGCAACUGAAGGCCAGUCAUUCCCUAAGAGUCUGGGGAGGUCAGACAGUACAUUGUGGUGAAUCAGGCACAGGCUCUCUCUCUCCUGAGGCCUCACAGUCUACAGGGAGAGGGAGAGAUGGACUGACGGGUGCAGACACUUGCAAUGCAGAGGUGACACCAUGACUGAGGCCAGCAGCACAGGGGGCUGCUGGACUUAACCAACUUGGGGGCAGGGGCAUCACGGAAGUCCUCCCGGGGGAUGUGACAUCAGAAGUGACUUCAUGGAAGAACAUUAGGGUUGAGGGGAAGAAGGCUCUGAGCAGAGGAAAUGGCAUCAGCCCUGGACAGAACAUGGAGAGCACACGGGCUGUUCUGGAGGCAUCACAGGCCUUGGCAUGGUUGGCCCAAGGGAGCACACGAAGGGGGCCCUUUGACGAGGUGGUCCUGGAAGUGAGAGGGGACUGGGAUCCAGGCAAUCCCGGGCCAGAGCAUUGCAGCAUUCUAGGCUGCCCAGAGAUCCUAUAAGGAAGAGGAGCUCGAGGUUACAGAGGGCCUGGAAGAAGCAGUCUGGCUGUGACAAAGGGGACAAGGAGGAGAAAGCAUUGAGGUGAAAGACCCAAAUUCAUGGAAGAGAAAUGAGUCACACAGGGAGCCAGUGGCAGAGCCACACCUCACAGAGCAAUCAGUGUGCUCUACUCUGCAGACCUGCAACAGAGAGGGAAGCCAGACUCACAUGCAAGAAGGAAAGACAAUGUGUUGGCUCAGUGUGUGCAGCCUGGAGUGAGCUACUGAACUCUAAAUCCAAGGAUGACUAAUAGGCAGAAUGACAUUAAUACCAGACCUGAUGAAGACAGCACAAAAAGUAAAACUCAACACAACCUCACAAUAUUAAUAAAGC